AGUGAACGCUGGCGGUAGGCCUAACACAUGCAAGUCGAACGGCAGCACAGUAAGAGCUUGCUCUUACGGGUGGCGAGUGGCGGACGGGUGAGGAAUACAUCGGAAUCUACUUUUUCGUGGGGGAUAACGUAGGGAAACUUACGCUAAUACCGCAUACGACCUACGGGUGAAAGCAGGGGAUCUUCGGGCCUUGCGCGAUUGAAUGAGCCGAUGUCGGAUUAGCUAGUUGGCGGGGUAAGGGCCCACCAAGGCGACGAUCCGUAGCUGGUCUGAGAGGAUGGACGGCCACAGUGGGACUGAGACACGGCCCAGACUGCUAAGGGAGGCAGCAGUGGGGAGUAUUGCACAAGGGGCGGAAGCAUGAGGCAGCGAAGAGGAGUGAGGGAUGGCGGCCUUCGGGUUGUGACUCACUUUCGCCAGUGAAGAAGGCCUGCCGCGUUUGUGGGUGGGUUGACGGUAGCUGGAUAAGAAGCGCCGGCUAACUACGUG
rnacentral:rRNA from 1 species